GAACGCUGGCGGCGUGCCUAAUACAUGCAAGUCGAGCGAACAGACGAGGAGCUUGCUCCUCUGACGUUAGCGGCGGACGGGUGAGUAACACGUGGAUAACCUACCUAUAAGACUGGGAUAACUUCGGGAAACCGGAGCUAAUACCGGAUAAUAUAUUGAACCGCAUGGUUCAAUAGUGAAAGACGGUUUUGCUGUCACUUAUAGAUGGAUCCGCGCCGCAUUAGCUAGUUGGUAAGGUAACGGCUUACCAAGGCAACGAUGCGUAGCCGACCUGAGAGGUUGAUCGGCCACACUGGAACUGAGACACGGUCCAGACUCCUACGGGAGGCAGCAGUAGGGAAUCUUCCGCAAUGGGCGAAAGCCUGACGGAGCAACGCCGCGUGAGUGAUGAAGGUCUUCGGAUCGUAAAACUCUGUUAUUAGGGAAGAACAAAUGUGUAAGUAACUAUGCACGUCUUGACGGUACCUAAUCAGAAAGCCACGGCUAACUACGUG
rnacentral:rRNA from 1 species